rnacentral:rRNA from 1 species
GAUGAACGCUGGCGGCGUGCCUAAUACAUGCAAGUCGAGCGAACAGACGAGAAGCUUGCUCCUCUGACGUUAGCGGCGGACGGGUGAGUAACACGUGGAUAACCUACCUAUAAGACUGGGAUAACUUCGGGAAACCGGAGCUAAUACCGGAUAAUAUAUUGAACCGCAUGGUUCAAUAGUGAAAGACGGUUUUGCUGUCACUUAUAGAUGGAUCCGCGCCACAUUAGCUAGUUGGUAAGGUAACGGCUUACCAAGGCAACGAUGCGUAGCCGACCUGAGAGGGUGAUCGGCCACACUGGAACUGAGACACGGUCCAGACUCCUACGGGAGGCAGCAGUAGGGAAUCUUCCGCAAUGGGCGAAAGCCUGACGGAGCAACGCCGCGUGAGUGAUGAAGGUCUUCGGAUCGUAAAACUCUGUUAUUAGGGAAGAACAAAUGUGUAAGUAACUAUGCACGUCUUGACGGUACCUAAUCAGAAAGCCACGGCUAACUACGUG